AACAAAAGUUAUGAGUUUUCAAAUCGAUAAUAUAACAGAGAUGAACGCUGAAGAAGAAAUGGAUAAAUCGAGUAAAGAGGCAAACGUAAUAAUAAAAAACAGAACGGAAUUGACGUCUUACUUUGAAAAGAUCGACCAUAGUAAUAAUGACAUUUAUUUUUCCGAGUAUUAUUUUGUAGAUUCCAAAUGCUUGUCGCGAGGAACCGUGCCAAUUGGGAGUAGACGAAGCAGGAAGAGGUCCUGUAUUGGGUCCUAUGGUAUACGGAAUAGCUUAUGCACCAUUGUCCCAGAAGCAAUUACUCGUAGACUUAGGUUGUGCAGAUUCAAAAA
rnacentral:lncRNA from 1 species